UACGUAGGGGGCAAGCGUUGUCCGGAAUCAUUGGGCGUAAAGCGCGUGUAGGCGGCCAGAAAAGUCCGCUGUGAAAACUCGAGGCUCAACUUCGAGCUGUCGGUGGAAACUUUCUGGCUAGAGUCCGGAAGAGGAGAAUGGAAUUCCUGGUGUAGCGGUGAAAUGCGCAGAUAUCAGGAGGAAUACCCAUAGCGAAGGCAGCUCGCUGGGACGGUACUGACGCUAAGGCGCGAAAGCGUGGGGAGCGAACAGG
rnacentral:rRNA from 1 species